UCAAAUAUAUCAUUGUAGCAACUCUGAUGCUGACUCUAGUAAAUUGUGGCUACAUUAAGUGGGAUACCCCCGUUACAAUUUGCCAUGUCAUUGGACGAUGCCAAGAACCAGAUGGAGAAUAUUGCCGUGGACGCCUACUCGAAGAUAGAAAAUGUGGUAUAAAUCGUUGCUGCCUACGUAAAUAUGAGCCAAAGAAAGAUCAGUUUCUCGUUCCUGAUGUAUAAGGUAUAUAAGAUUUUAAUCGUGAUCUUGAAAUAGGAACAAAACUGAAAUAAAUUUCUUAUUUAGUUGACCCUACUUUCGAAAAUCAA